UACGUAGGGUGCAAGCGUUAAUCGGAAUUACUGGGCGUAAAGCGUGCGCAGGCGGUUUUGUAAGUCUGACGUGAAAUCCCCGGGCUCAACCUGGGAAUUGCUGUUGGAUGACUGCAAGGCUAGAAUCUGGCAGAGGGGGGUAGGAAUUCCACGUGUAGCAGUGAAAUGCGUAGAGAUGUGGAGGAAUACCGAUGGCGAAGGCAGCCCCCUGGGAUAACACUGACGCUCAUGCACGAAAGCGUGGGGAGCAAACAGG
rnacentral:rRNA from 1 species